rnacentral:rRNA from 1 species
GAUGAACGCUGGCGGCGUGCUUAACACAUGCAAGUCGAACGGAAAGGCUCCUGCUUGCAGGGGUACUCGAGUGGCGAACGGGUGAGUAACAAGUGGGUGAUCUGCCCUGCACUUCGGGAUAAGCCUGGGAAACUGGGUCUAAUACCGGAUAGGACGAUGGUUUGGAUGCCAUUGUGGAAAGUUUUUCGGUGUGGGAUGAGCUCGCGGCCUAUCAGCUUGUUGGUGGGGUAAUGGCCUACCAAGGCGUCGACGGGUAGCCGGCCUGAGAGGGUGUACGGCCACAAUGGGACUGAGCUACGGCCCAGACUCCUACGGGAGGCAGCAGGGGGGAAUAUUGCACAAUGGGCGCAAGCCUGAUGCAGCGACGCCGCGUGGGGGAUGACGGCCUUCGGGUUGUAAACUCCUUUCGCUAGGGACGAAGCGCAAGUGACGGUACCUGGAGAAGAAGCACCGGCUAACUACGUG